GAUGAACGCUAGCUACAGGCUUAACACAUGCAAGUCGAGGGGAAACGAUAGAGAAAGCUUGCUUUUUCUAGGCGUCGACCGGCGCACGGGUGAGUAACGCGUAUCCAACCUGCCCAUCACUUGGGGAUAACCUUGCGAAAGUAAGACUAAUACCCAAUGAUAUCUCUAGAAGACAUCUGAAAGGGAUUAAAGAUUUAUCGGUGAUGGAUGGGAUGCGUCUGAUUAGCUUGUUGGCGGGGUAACGGCCCACCAAGGCGAUGAUCAGUAGGGGUUCUGAGAGGAAGGUCCCCCACAUUGGAACUGAGACACGGUCCAAACUCCUACGGGAGGCAGCAGUGAGGAAUAUUGGUCAAUGGGCGAGAGCCUGAACCAGCCAAGUAGCGUGCAGGAUGACGGCCCUAUGGGCUGUAAACUGCUUUUAUAAGGGAAUAAAGUGAGUCUCGUGAGACUUUUUGCAUGUACCUUAUGAAUAAGGACCGGCUAAUUCCGUGCCAGCAGCCGCAGUAA
rnacentral:rRNA from 1 species